GGUAUUUAAACAUAACAAAUUUCUAAAACAACUAUAUAUUAGUUUUUUUCUACUUUGAUCUGUUUUUUCACCGGAUAUGGCAUAUUGCUUUUUUCCUUUAACCUUGCUGGCCCUUUUUCUUUGUAACUGAAUUAUCGGGGCUUCAUCGUCACUUUCAUCUGCUAUAUUUUGCUUUCCAAUAUCAUGUAUACUCAUUUCAAGUGGAUUUUCGUCUGUAGUGGAUUGUUUAACGUUAUUGGUCCUCUUGCACAUAUUAAUCUUUUCGUGGAUUUGAAUCUCCAUUUCAACAGCUGCAAUAUCCUUUUAAACAUGAGCCUUCUUUCAUCAGGUGUGUUAUUCUUUGGAACCUCAUGUAUCUCUGUAGCUAUCACAUCAUAUUGGUCUCCACAUUUGGGAAGUUGAGAUCAAUCUUUACAAGGAUAAUGAAUUCUUUCCCAUUACUCAAUACCAUCUUGCGGUAGUAUUCAGAUUCUUCUUCCUUUAGAAUAGGAAGCCCUUAUCAAUUAGUAUUUCAGUAAAAGUAGGAUAGCAAUAUUAAUAUGGGCUAAUAUUUUAUAUAGUUAGUGAUUUACCUUUUUAGAUGUAGAUUGAACAUAGUAUUUUACGUGACAACCCAAAUAGUAUUGUGCCGCAUCAAACAAUGUAAUACCUAGAAAGUGAUCCUCAGCAUUGACAUCAAUCAUUAAUCGAUAUCUAAAGUACAUUUGAAGAUUCAAUAAGUAUGACUUAACUUAUUUAAUAGAUAUAAGUUAAAUUAAUUUCUAUAUGUAA